AAGUUGAGGUGGGGCCCACACGUCAAGAUUUUUUUUGGGACAUGUGACAAAUUAUAUGAAUCACAUAUGUGAAGUUAAACACAACUCAAGAAGGACCCUUGGGCCAAAUCAAAGUGGAAGUCCUCCAAACGAAUAUUUUUAAGAAAACGUUUUCGGGUGACCUGACUUUGGGGGGCAAAAACGGUAUUAUAAGUUUGGAAUUUGGAAAAAUACCAAGAAAUAAAAGUUGUAGAUAAUUGAAUUAUCUUUCCAACCAUAGGUCGUGGGUUCCCAGGUGACGUCGGGACAAGGAGAUAUGGACGUUUUAAUGCAGAAAGGUUAGUGGGCUAGGCCCAAUCCGAGCCCAACCGGGUUAGGCCCAUUACCCAAGUUUUUAUAAGUGAAAAUUUCGGCCUUCCUCCUCAUUUUAAGACCUGUAACAACCAGAAAAUUCUGGAAAGAGAGAGAGAGGAGCUUUGGAGAGAAGAAAAACUAAUUUUGACCAAAAUCCGAGCCCCGAAUCCCGAAGCCCAUGAAGGGAAAAGUGUUGUACGCUGCGUUGUCUUCAAUUUGAGCUAAAAAUCAACCAAGGAGGAGGGUGAUAACGUGGUGGCUGAAUUCUUAAGAUUUUGGGCGAAACGGGAAUUGAAUUUGGAAAGGCGUAAAGAGCAUACAAGGUACAAACGACAGGUUUGCUGAUCCGCCCGCUUAGGACUUUAUUCUGCUAUUUUGGAGCGCUCCUUUAUCCGGAGCCCAUAUUUUGGUACAGUCUUCUGCUAUCGUAUAUAUGUACAUUAUUCAGGGGUACGACGGGGCCCUGUCUCGUCUUAUGAUUCUGUUAUGUUCUGUAGAGGUCUGUAGACAUACUUGUGUGGGUUCUGUAUAUGUUUUGGAUGAUAUGAUCUGUGACAGCCUUAUCGGCUUCCAUGUACUAUGUCGGUUCAUUUAUGAUAAUUACUAACGCCAA